CCUGGGAAGAGCCACCGCUUGGUGGCAAAGCAUCUGCUUUGUACGCAGAAGGUCCCAGGUUUAAUCCCUGGAAUCUCCAGGA